AUAUUUUUUAUUUCUUCUUCAUCAGGAAACACCUUUAAUUCACUAUUUUGCUCCUCUGAGAUCAGCCGAUGAAUAUGCUUCAAAAUAUCAAAUUCAGUUGCUUCUGCUUCUGCAAUAAACAGAUUUUGAAAUAAAAUUUUAGCUUCCACUACAAUAUCCUCUUCUGUCUCUAACCACACACCAUUCUGAUUCUGGAUUCUGGUUAGCUGUAGCUUUUUCCUCUUUCCUUUCACAUGUGCAUGAAAGAAUUUUGUGUUUCUGUCUCCAUUCAUAAACCACUGCAUACUAGAUUUAUUCUUCCAAAAUUUCUCCUCUAUAGCAUAAAACUUAGUCAAUUCUGCUUGUACUUUCUGUAGCAUUUCUCUAUUAGCUCCUGUAGGAUUUUCUUCAAAUUCCUGUUCAUGAAUCUUGACCACCUCUUCCAAAGUCUCUAUCUGCCUAAAGAUAUCCCCAUAAGUAUCUCUACUCCAUUUAGACAAUACUUUGCUCAGAUUUUUCAACUUAUUAUGGAAAAUAUAAAAAGGAUCUGAUCCAUGAUGCCCUAUCCAAUUAGUUCUCACAACUUCCUGGAAAGAAGGAUGUUCAAUCCAAAAAUUUAAGAACCUGAAGGAUUCUUUAAUUACCCUGCUGUCCUCUGAGCAAGUGAUCAACAAAGGCGAAUGAUCUGACCCCUGUUUAAUCAGAUGCUCCACCUCAAAAUUAGGGUAUGUAUCUUGUAGUUAUUGAUUAGCCAAACACCUAUCCAGUCUUUUGAAAAUGCAUUGUUCAUCUGAUCUUCCAUUCCACCAUGUAUACAUGCUGCCUUUGAAACCCAUAUCUGUGAGUUGACAAAUGUUGAUACAUUGAUUGAAAUCCUCUACUUCCACAAAUGGCACUUCUAAUCCCCCAUAUUGCUCAAUAUCAUCCACUAUUACAUUGAAAUCUCCUCCUACUAGCCAUGGAGAAUUGAUGCUGGUAGAUAUAUGGUACAGAUCAUUCGAUAAAUCCACCCUAGUAGCUCUGUCUGUGGUAGCAUAUAUUAAGAUGCAACUUUGGGUGCAUGACUUUCCUCGCCCUUUUUUGGGUCGAUAUUCUAGAUGAAUUACCCAACAGCACAUAUAUAUCAUGCCCUUGAAGUUUGCAAUGUGUGCAGUAUUUUGGUCAUGUAGAUCAGGCCGUCCAUACGAAAACUUGGCAAUCACUGCGUAUUUCAAGUUUUGUCUGCGGGAAAGUUCUUCAAAUUCCUUUUUUGUCCAUGACAUUGUUGGUUCUCCAUGCAAGUAUGUAAUAGGUUUAAUUGUUAACUUCUCUUCUUGCGUGGAUGGUUGUAGGGCUGUAGCAUAAUUCAAUUUUGGUGUGGUAUUAGUAGUAGGGUGUGGAGGCGCACCGGCCACCAAUGGUGGCUGGCCGCCGGCCGUCAUGGCCAUGCCGAGGUUUUCAAGUUUUAGGGUUUUGCGUCAAUAUUGAAGAGAGAGAACUUUUUUUUUCCUUGAGCCAGCCAACUUUUUUUUUUCAAGUGAGUCACAGGCCAAAAGUCAUAAGUUGGUCAUUCAUAACUUAUUAUUUUUCAGCUUAUAAUCACUUCAUG